GAUGAACGCUAGCGGGAGGCCUAACACAUGCAAGCCGAGCGGUAUUGUUUCUUCGGAAAUGAGAGAGCGGCGUACGGGUGCGGAACACGUGUGCAACCUGCCUUUAUCUGGGGGAUAGCCUUUCGAAAGGAAGAUUAAUACUCCAUAAUAUAUUGAACGGCAUCGUUUGAUAUUGAAAGCUCUGGCGGAUAGAGAUGGGCACGCGCAAGAUUAGCUAGUUGGUGAGGUAACGGCUCACCAAGGCGAUGAUCUUUAGGGGGCCUGAGAGGGUGAUCCCCCACACUGGUACUGAGACACGGACCAGACUCCUACGGGAGGCAGCAGUGAGGAAUAUUGGUCAAUGGGUGCAAGCCUGAACCAGCCAUCCCGCGUGAAGGACGACUGCCCUAUGGGUUGUAAACUUCUUUUGUAUAGGGAUAAACCUACCCUCGUGAGGGUAGCUGAAGGUACUAUACGAAUAAGCACCGGCUAACUCCGUGCCAGCAGCCGCGGUAAUACGGAGGGUGCAAGCGUUAUCCGGAUUUAUUGGGUUUAAAGGGUCCGCAGGCGGACUUAUAAGUCAGUGGUGAAAGCCUGUCGCUUAACGAUAGAACUGCCAUUGAUACCGUAAGUCUUGAGUAUAUUUGAGGUAGCUGGAAUAAGUAGUGUAGCGGUGAAAUGCAUAGAUAUUACUUAGAACACCAAUUGCGAAGGCAGGUUACCAAGAUAUAACUGACGCUGAGGGACGAAAGCGUGGGGAGCGAACAGGAUUAGAUACCCUGGUAGUCCACGCCGUAAACGAUGCUAACUCGUUUUUGGGCUUUAGGGUUCAGAGACCAAGCGAAAGUGAUAAGUUAGCCACCUGGGGAGUACGCUCGCAAGAGUGAAACUCAACGGAAUUGACGGGGGCCCGCACAAGCGGUGGAUUAUGUGGUUUAAUUCGAUGAUACGCGAGGAACCUUACCAAGACUUAAAUGGGAAUUGACAGCUUUAGAAAUAGAGCUUUCUUCGGACAAUUUUCAAGGUGCUGCAUGGUUGUCGUCAGCUCGUGCCGUGAGGUGUUAGGUUAAGUCCUGCAACGAGCGCAACCCCUGUCACUAGUUGCCAUCAUUCAGUUGGGGACUCUAGUGAGACUGCCUACGCAAGUAGAGAGGAAGGUGGGGAUGACGUCAAAUCAUCACGGCCCUUACGUCUUGGGCCACACACGUAAUACAAUGGCCGGUACAGAGGGCAGCUACACAGCGAUGUGAUGCAAAUCUCGAAAGCCGGUCUCAGUUCGGAUUGGAGUCUGCAACUCGACUCUAUGAAGCUGGAAUCGCUAGUAAUCGCGCAUCAGCCAUGGCGCGGUGAAUACGUUCCCGGGCCU
rnacentral:rRNA from 1 species